UCAAUAUCAAUAUUUAAAAUGCACAUACAGGUUUUUUUUUUUUUAGCUACAAUGACUCAGCCGAUGUUCUCUUCCUGCUGCGGGACCAUGGCGGGGUGUAAAUUCUGCGUAGAUGAAUGGAAGAAAACGUCCGAUCACUGCCUCAAGUGCAGGGAAGACCUGCCCAUGUAUACAGAGACUCAAACGACGUCUGCUGCAGCUUUGUUCUCGUCGUCAGAAGAUGAGGAACACCAGUCAGCACCAAUGAUGUCAACACCAGUCAAGCAUCCUCCCUCUGGCCAAGCACCGUUUUCACCAGGCCUCAAUACCAGUGCCAGUAGCCAUGAAGUUGGUGAAACCGACGAAAGCUAUCAGCCUGAGUCAACCCUCACGCCCACACCGGCGUCGUCAUCACAAGAUGAAGGUGUAAAGGACUGCCGUGAAAAGAUUAUUGGCAAUGAAUUCAGCCUCAUGUCACUAUUCAAAUGCAAACAUACUUGUGAGAAUAGAUGGCCCUUUUCUCUCGCAUAUUAACAGCCAAGUUAACGGCAAUACACUAUGGGGGAGGUGGACAUGUCUGCAAGGAACAACAAUCUACACAACAAAGUAUUCAGUCGAUUGGCCUGGCCUUAGUAUCAGACUUAAUGGCUCCAGUGGGAAUGCAUAUGUGAACUAUCUUUAUGGGGUCAGAACAGUCUCAUUAAUAAUGAAUGCACAGAGAAGGAUUCACAAAUGUAUUUUCUACCCAUGACACAAUUCUUUCAUUUGUGAAUAAAAAAUACAAUGUAACUCCUG